rnacentral:rRNA from 1 species
GACGAACGCUGGCGGCGUGCCUAAUACAUGCAAGUCGAGCGGGCCUCCGGAGGUGCUUGCACCUCCGGAAGGCCAGCGGCGGACGGGUGAGUAACACGUGGGCAACCUGCCUUUGAGGCCGGGAUAACACCGGGAAACCGGUGCUAAUACCGGAUGCGUCCCCUUUCGCGCCUGCGAGAGGGGAGAAAGACGGUCUUUAAGGCCGUCGCUCAAAGAGGGGCCCGCGGCGCAUUAGCGGGCUGGUGGGGUAAGGGCCUACCAAGGCGACGAUGCGUUGGCGACCUGAGAGGGUGAUCGGGCACACGGGGACUGAGACACGUCCCAGGCUACUGCGGGAGGCAGCAGUAGGGAAUCAUCCGCAAUGGGCGAAAGCCUGACGGUGCAACGCCGCGUGAGUGAGGAAGGUUUUCGGAUCGUAAAGCUCUGUUGUGAGGGAAGAACAGCUUCCGGAGGAAAUGCCGGAGGUUUGCCGGUACCUCACCAGAAAGCCCCGGCUAACUACGUGCCAGCCGCCGCCGUAAGAC